rnacentral:rRNA from 1 species
UAGCCCUACGGGGGCAGCAGUGGGGAAUAUUGCACAAUGGGGGAAACCCUGAUGCAGCGACGCCGCGUGAGUGAAGAAGUAUUUCGGUAUGUAAAGCUCUAUCAGCAGGGAAGAAAUAGCGACCUUUGGGUCGCUAGACGGUACCUGAUUAAGAAGCCCCGGCUAACUACGUGCCAGCAGCCGCGGUAAUACGUAGGGGGCAAGCGUUAUCCGGAUUUACUGGGUGUACAGGGAGCGCAGGCGGUAUGGCAAGUCAGAUGUGAAAACCCAGGGCUCAACCCUGGGACUGCAUUUGAAACUGCCAU